AUUGAACGCUGGCGGCAGGCCUAACACAUGCAAGUCGAACGAGCGGCGGACGGGUGAGUAAUGUCUGGGGAACUGCCUGAUGGAGGGGGAUAACUACUGGAAACGGUAGCUAAUACCGCAUACCAUCGGAUGUGCCCAUAUGGGAUUAGCUAGUAGGUGGGGUAAAGGCUCACCUAGGCGACGAUCCCUAGCUGGUCUGAGAGGAUGACCAGUCACACUGGGACUGAGACACGGUCCAGACUCCUACGGGAGGCAGCAGGGGGGAAUAUUGCACAAUGGGCGCAAGCCUGAUGCAGCCAUGCCGCGUGUAUGAAGAAGGCCUUCGGGUUGUAAAGUACUUUCAGCGGGGAGGCGUUACCCGCAGAAGAAGCACCGGCUAACUCCGUGCCAGCAGCCGCGGUAAUUC
rnacentral:rRNA from 1 species